UGGGGAAUAUUGGACAAUGGGCGCAAGCCUGAUCCAGCCAUGCCGCGUGAGUGAUGAAGGCCCUAGGGUUGUAAAGCUCUUUCACCGGUGAAGAUAAUGACGGUAACCGGAGAAGAAGCCCCGGCUAACUUCGUGCCAGCAGCCGCGGUAAUACGAAGGGGGCUAGCGUUGUUCGGAUUUACUGGGCGUAAAGCGCACGUAGGCGGACUUUUAAGUCAGGGGUGAAAUCCCGGGGCUCAACCCCGGAACUGCCUUUGAUACUGGAAGUCUUGAGUAUGGUAGAGGGGAGGGGAAUUCCGAGUGUAGGGGUGAAAUUCGUAGAUAAUCGGAGGAACACCAGUGGCGAAGGCGGCUCACUGGACCAUUACUGACGCUGAGGUGCGAAAGCGUGGGGAGCAAACAGG
rnacentral:rRNA from 1 species